CCUACGGGGGGCAGCAGUGGGGAAUAUUUCACAAUGGGGGAAACCCUGAUGCAGCGACGCCGCGUGAAUGAAGAAGUAAUUCGUUAUGUAAAGCGCUAUCAGCAGGGAGGAAAAUGACGGUACCUGAGUAAGAAGCACCGGCUAACUACGUGCCAGCAGCCGCGGUAAUACGUAGGGGGCGAGCGUUAUCCGGAUUUACUGGGUGUAAAGAGAGCGUAGACGGCAGUGCAAGACUGGAGGGAAAGUCGGGGGCUCAACCCCCGGACUGUUCUGGAAACUGUACGGCUGGAGUGCAGGAGAGGUAAGUGGAAUUUCUAGUGUAGGGGUGAAAUGCGUAGAUAUUAGGAGGAACACCAGUGGCGAAGGCGGCUUACUGGACUGUAACUGACGUUGAGGCUCGAAAGCGUGGGGAGCAAACAGGAUUAGAUACCCCAGUAGUC
rnacentral:rRNA from 1 species